rnacentral:lncRNA from 10 species
ACAUGCUGUGUCAGGUUCAGGAUGUCUCCAACUGGAGAACACUGAGAUUUGAUGUUUUAGGAGAGUAAAGCUGACUGCCCAGCACAGAGCUGUAUUCAGAAUCCAUUUCAGAGCCUCAAGCCUUGCCUGGCAGCUGCCUCACCACAUCAGCCGCCGAGGCUGGCAGCUCCCACUGCUUUGAGCUCAUCAUUCAAAGAUGAUUCCUGCAGCACGCUUGAGUGACAGAGCUAAGAUGAGAGGGGAUGAAUUGUCCAGGGUUUCUGCAGACAGACCAAAGGUGAUGAUCCCACAUCAGCAACAAGAGUCAGGAGGAAGUCUUCAGAAGCAGGAAUGCAUAGAUCCAAGAAAGAUCAUAUGUGAAGCACCAGUCUAUGCUCUGUAUCUCGCCUUCCACUUUUCAAGGCAUCACUCUGAUGAAGAUCUCCUCCUUCAGCUGUGCUCUCCAUGGCCUCUGAACAUAUAACAUAGUCCUAGCUCACCCAAAUGAAACAAACAGGUAGGGAGGAAAACAAGGACAGAAACCAGGAGGCCCAGCCCAGGAUUAAAAACACACCACAGCCUUUCCAAAAAGUCAGAGUCAUACAUGGAUCACUUGGAAAUAACUGAACUUGCAAAUCCAGUUUCCCAUGGACCUGCUGAGUUUAUGAGGAAAAGGUGGCUGUGGCCAUUACCAAGUUAUUAAAACCACAGAGAUCUUGACUUGUAUGGACUGAGAUGAGGCUUCCAUCAGCAUCUCGCAUAAAUAACAUAACACUGAUGCAGCAGAUGAACAUGGAAUCAGUGACAUCCACAAGAAGACAAUAGGCUUGGAGGAGAAACAGACCUUGACUUCAAGACACAACGCAGAGGGAAAUAUCGCUGAUACAAAGCUUGAAGAUGAUCAUCUAUGUACCCAUCGGGACAUUUUUAAAGGGACAAGUGGAAUGAGCGAAGACUUUGAAGACAGUCUUGUCUGCCAGGCACUCAGAUCAUCAGGAAGCAGAAAAGGAGAUGCAAGAUCAGGUUGAGAGGUAUUUUGUGCAGGAAUACACAUUCAGUGUUAUAAUGUAAUUGAAAAAGAGUCUAUUUCAGAGGCAUCAGCUUCACAGCCACCAUGGUUUAACCUCACCUGUGGUGUGAGAUGGACAGUGGGUAUGGGUGGCCCCUCCUAUGGGUGGGAAGCACAGUGAUGUGUUGGGCACCUGAGCAGGGCUGCCAAGAUUUUCUAAAGCAUUCUGUGGACCAUUCUGUGAGCCCCUACAAGGGGUUCUGAGCUCCUUGCCCUGGGAUUUGAUCCAAUGGACCUAUCUAACUGGUAUCUCCAAUGUCAGAGGUGAGUGAGAGCUUCUGUUUGUUUGAACUCUGCCUGACCUCAGUCUCAGUGCUUAUUUUGAACCAGGAACUAAAUGUAGAGGAAAAGUAUGGAGGACAAAGUGCACAAUUAUUUUCUCUUGGACAGAUCUUCGACGUCCUGCUUUUCCCUGGGGAGCACUUUCCCUGGAUGCAGGUAGACACAACUUCUUUCUCCUAAUAUGCCCACCCUGCAUUCUCCCUUCGCCCUGGUCUUUUCUCAUGAUUUUGGGAAAGUUCCAGACAGUCUCUCUGACUGGCAGCAGGAAAAACACAGUGCAAUAUAAUAUAUUGUGUAUAUUUAGCAUGACGUGUAAAUAUUUUAUAGAAGCUAAAGUAAAUAAUAUAUAUAUUUGUAAUGUCAGUGUAAAUAUUUGAUAGGCUGCAGUAGGAAUCCAGUAUGUUUGGAGCUGGGCACAGCACCAGUGGGAGGAAGGGACAAGGUCAAAUCAGAGGGCAACCUGUUCAUGACGUAUCUGAAAACAUCUCUUUUUCUCCUUCUGCCUGGCUGCUGCUUUGAACGCUUGACUCUCAACAUUCAAAUAUUCUCACGUGAAUUAUCCACAGCAAUUCAAGACCAAGCCCUAUAGCUUUAGAGGCUGCUGGAAAGAGAGCAGCAUGUAAGAUCCUAAAUAACUGGCUGAAUUAUAUUUAUUCAUUUGUUGACUUGUUUACUGUCUAUCUCAUCCAUACAAUAGAAAUUCCUGGAAGGCCCAUCUUGCCUAUUAUCAUAUCUCCAGUGCAUAAAACAGUUCCUGACACAUAGUAGACACUCUGUAAAUAAUUCUGGACUGAAUAAAUGGUGAGAUUUGAUGCCAAACUGAGGAGAAAAAAACUGCAACCCCAGCCCUCCCUGAAAGGGCCAACAUUUUAAAUCCAUUAGUCAUGCAAACCUUGAGGGUGAGUUUAUUUAAAUUAGUGAUAAGAACUAGCUGAAGUUAGCUAUGUGACAGGCUGAUGUUGUUUCACUGGAAGGGGAAGAAGGUAUUUGGGGCCCUAGGGCUCCACGGUGAGGUCCACGCCAGAAGAGUUGUCUAGGAGGCCAUGGAGGUAGUGAGGGGCACAAGGCAGAUGGGGAUAAAGAAGCAGAAAAUCUACAGCAGAAGAUGAGAGGGAAGUGGAAGACACUAGAAUAUCUUUACCACCUCCCAAAUUUUCCAGGACAACCUCUUUACAUGCAUGACUAUGAGUAAGUGUUUCAACAUUAAAUGCAACCUACUGUUAGCUUUCCCGGGACUAGUUACCCAGAAGGUUUUACUUCAUCUAAAAUGCAACCAAUAAUAGCAUUCAUAGCAAAUGCUUAUGUUGUAUUUACCCAGACACUAUUCACAUUGUUCUACACGCAUGAAUGCAUUUCACCCUUAGAACCCCCAAGUAGAGGAAAAAGAAAUUCAGGAGAUUAUGUGACUGAAUUAUCUAGGGAUGAUCAUGAGCUACGUUCCUUUCACCUGUGAGUAUCAAAUACUACUGGUGUCAGUAGAGGCAACAUGUCCCUCUUUCUAGAUGCUCCUCUUCCUGUGUGUGUUGUGUUGGGUUGUGGGGGAAGUCUUAGUGAGAAGUUCCUGGACUUAAGAAAGGUAGAGUAGCUCCCAGGUAAACAGAACCUGCUUGGAAACAGGUCUAAUCUCUUACAAAAUCACAGAGCCCAAAGAAUGUAAAGGCCCUGAGAGGAACUAAGUCUAAUAGCUCCACCGAGUGAUGCACGGAGAGUUCCCGGAACAGUCCUUCAGCUUGCUGGCUGCACAGGAAACUGUGUGAUGUGUGCUGUACCCACAUUUCUCAUCUGUCCUCAGAACACAGUAAAUAUCAGCUGGCUUUGCUCAUCGGAGAGGUGUGGGGUAUGGAAGGGACAAGAGAAGAGAGAAAGGGAGACAAUAGAACAAUAACUGAUCUCUCCUUUCUGGUAUUACUGUUAUAACAGCACAAUGGCAAUUGAGCAAUCAAUUCCAAACUUUUAAAAGUCUUUUUCUUUUCUCAACUUAAAAUCAAAGCUUGCGCUGGGCGUGGUGGCUCACACCUAUAAUCCCAGCACUUUGGGAGGCCAAGGCUGGUGGAUCACCAGGUCAAGAGAUCAAGACCAUCCUGGCCAAUAUGAAACCCCAUCUCUACUAAAAAUACAAAAAUUAGCUGGGCGUGGUGGCACGUGCCUGUAAUCCCAGCUACUCGGGAAGCUGAGGCAGGAGAAUCGCUUGAACCCAGGAGGCAGAGGUUGCAGUGAGCCAAGAUCGUGCCCUGCACUCCAGUCUGGUGACAGAGCAAGACUCCAUCUCAAAAAAAUAAAAAUAAAAUAAAAUCAAAGCUUGAAGUUCUUACACCAUGGCACCAGCAAAGACAUGUGCUGUCUUGUCACUGUGCCCAACAGAACAGAUGACUUCUUUCCCAUAUCCCACCCGAUGAUGUUCUGAGAUGGUUUUGAAAUGUUGUCUAGACCACAGUGGGCCUGUCUUACAAACCGCACCUCUGUCAGUGGUGUACCCACACCCGUGUCACUCUAUCCGUGGCCCUGAAGUGCUGUGGAUGAGGGCCACAAGUGAGCUAGAUGUCUCAGAAGACAAAGAGAGAGGCACCUUGUGGGACAGUGUUUAAAUAUUCUCAGUGCCAGAGAGGAAGCUGGGACCCAGCAGAGGUCUGAGUUGACAUGCUGGGCCCUCUCUAAGGCCAGCUGUUGGGGACCAGGUCCUCAAGUCCUGCCAUUGAGACAAGGCAAACGGAACACAUUUCCUCUUCUUUCCACAUUUGUACCAAUAGCCUGGACUGAGUGUCGGGGUCAUCUUGGUGCACGUUCAAGUCCUUCAUUCUUGACAGGUGCUAACUCAGAGAACUCGGUGGGGCCCAGGUCCAACACAGCCAGGUGAGCUGACUCCAGAGCCAGAUCAGAGCUGGGCUUGGGAACCAAAAUCCAAGCAAUUUAUUGAGUCCUCAAAGAAACACUGAACUUUAUUUCACUGAACUACACUUGUAGACCAAUGCAUUGUAGUGGGACCUUCAGCACCAUGGAAUCAGACUCAGAGUGUUUCAUUUUGUUUUCUUUUUCUAGUCUUAUUUUUUGCUUUGUCUUACUUUGACUAGCUUUGUUUCACCUUGUUAGGCAGAAAAUUCAAGGAACAAGAUGAUUCCCUUUAGUUUGAUAUGGAUAAAUAAACAUUAAAU